GGGGGUGUAGUUCAGGUGGUAGAAUAUAUGCUUUGCACGCAUCAGGUCAUCGGUUCGAAUCCGAUCACCUCCA
rnacentral:tRNA from 1 species